UAAUAUAGUAUUGCUGCUUUGUGCCACAGG
rnacentral:piRNA from 1 species